rnacentral:rRNA from 1 species
UACGUAGGGUGCGAGCGUUAAUCGGAAUUACUGGGCGUAAAGCGCGCGCAGGUGGAUACCUAAGUCCGCCGUGAAAGCUCCUGGCUCAACUGGGAGAGGUCGGAGGAGACUGGGUGUCUGGAGGGAGGCAGAGGCCGGUGGAAUUCCCGGUGUAGUGGUGAAAUGCGUAGAGAUCGGGAGGAACACCAGUGGCGAAGGCGGGUUGCUGGGCUGACACUGACGCUGAGGCGCGAAAGCUAGGGGAGCGAACGGG